GUCUAUACAUGCNAGUCGAACGAACUCUGGUAUUGAUUGGUGCUUGCAUCAUGAUUUACAUUUGAGUGAGUGGCGAACUGGUGAGUAACACGUGGGAAACCUGCCCAGAAGCGGGGGAUAACACCUGGAAACAGAUGCUAAUACCGCAUAACAACUUGGACCGCAUGGUCCGAGUUUGAAAGAUGGCUUCGGCUAUCACUUUUGGAUGGUCCCGCGGCGUAUUAGCUAGAUGGUGAGGUAACGGCUCACCAUGGCAAUGAUACGUAGCCGACCUGAGAGGGUAAUCGGCCACAUUGGGACUGAGACACGGCCCAAACUCCUACGGGAGGCAGCAGUAGGGAAUCUUCCACAAUGGACGAAAGUCUGAUGGAGCAACGCCGCGUGAGUGAAGAAGGGUUUCGGCUCGUAAAACUCUGUUGUUAAAGAAGAACAUAUCUGAGAGUACACUGUUCAGGUAUUGACGGUAUNUAACCAGAAAGCCACAGGCUAACUACNG
rnacentral:rRNA from 1 species